rnacentral:tRNA from 1 species
GUUGUCGUGGUCGAGUGGUUAAGGCGAUGGACCAGAAAUCUUUUAGGAUCUUCCCGCGCAGGUUCGAAUCCUGCCGAAAUCG